rnacentral:rRNA from 1 species
GUCUUUUUGAUUAAAUAAAAGGUUUGGUCUGCCCACUGAGCGAUUUAAUGGCCGCGGUAUUUUGACCGUGCAAAGGUAGCAUAAUCAUUAGUUUAUUAAUUGUAAGCUGGAAUGAAGGAUUGGACGAGGAUUAAGCUGUCUUUUUAGUAUAGAUAAAAUUUACAGUUUCAUUGAAAAUGAUGAAAUAGUUAUAAGGGACGAGAAGACCCUAUAGAGUUUUAUAUAAGGAUUUAGUUUUAGAGGUAUAAGGUUAAAUAUUUAAUUGGGGUAAUUGAUUAAUAGUAUAAUUUAAUUUAAUUGGAUAAAACUCUAUCGAAGGGUGGGCGAUCUAUAAAUAGUUUUAGAUUAAACUACCUUAGGGAUAACAGUGUGAUAUAGUUUAGAGUUCGUAUUGAAAAUUAUGAUUGCAACCUCGAUGUUGGAUUAAGGAAA